UACGGGGGGGGGCAAGCGUUGUUCGGAAUUACUGGGCGUAAAGGGCUCGUAGGCGGCCAACUAAGUCGGACGUGAAAUCCCCAGGCUCAACCUGGGAACUGCGUCCGAUACUGGAUGGCUUGAAUUCGGGAGAGGGAUGCAGAAUUCCAGGUGUAGCGGUGAAAUGCGUAGAUAUCAAGAGGAACACCAGUGGCGAAGGCGAGUCCCUGGACAACACCUGACACUGAGGCACGAAAGCUAGGGGAGCAAACAGG
rnacentral:rRNA from 1 species